rnacentral:rRNA from 1 species
AUUGAACGCUGGCGGAAUGCUUUACACAUGCAAGUCGAACGGCAGCACGGGGGCAGCCCUGGUGGCGAGUGGCGAACGGGUGAGUAAUACAUCGGAACGUGCCCGGUCGUGGGGGAUAACGUAGCGAAAGUUACGCUAAUACCGCAUACGAUCUGAGGAUGAAAGCGGGGGACCUUCGGGCCUCGCGCGAUCGGAGCGGCCGAUGUCAGAUUAGGUAGUUGGUGGGGUAAAGGCCUACCAAGCCGACGAUCUGUAGCUGGUCUGAGAGGACGACCAGCCACACUGGGACUGAGAAACGGCCCAGACUCCUACGGGAGGGCGCGGGGGGGAAUUUUGGACAAUGGGCGCAAGCCUGAUCCAGCCAUUCCGCGUGAAGGACGAAGGCCUUCGGGUUGUAAAUUGCUUUUGUACGGAACGAAAAGGCUCUGGCUAAUCCCUGGGGCUCAUGGCGGUACCGUAAGAAUAAGCACCGGCUAACUACGG